rnacentral:lncRNA from 1 species
CCCCUCCUUACUGCCCGUUUUCCCUAUAUAACUGCCUCAAGAUUCCGUAAUCCUGGAAGAUGGGUUUUUGAGACAUUAGUCACUCAUCUUCCGAUUAACCAGCUAAUCUAAUUAAGCUUCCUUUCUCGAUCUCUAACUUGUGAUUAAUUGGCUCAGAUCGCAGCGAACAGAGUGAGCCCUUCCUCAGUAUUAGCACUAUUGCGUUCUUUUCCUCCAACCGUUUGCAUCUGAAUAGACCUGACUGGACUCUGCAGGAGACCCCUGGCUGAUUUGCAAGGAAGAACGGGGCAGGGUCAAGAGAGCUCAUGACCUGAUGAUCUGAGGACCCAACCUGAGGAAAUAAGAGGACACUCAAAGGAACAGAUGAGUAAGAGCGCUCAGAACUUACCCAACUUCAAUGGCAAUUCCACUGAGGAGUAACCACAGUGUUGUUUUUUCAUAGAAACACCAAAUUUGGAAAUAAAACCCUGCUGGGUUUAUGUGGCACCUCAAUAUUCCACUGAUUUUUUUUCCAGAGGCCAGUGAGAAGGAGGAACCUUGUUCUUCCAGGCCUGGACAGCCAGCGCGUGACCGCAUUCAGCCCCUCCCACUCUUUGUGUCCCCCUGAUGGAGCUCUGAAUGCUCUGGGCUGGAGACCAUGGGACAGCACCUUUGAGAACCAUGUCACUGCUCUGACACACCUGCUGAGAUUCAGAAGGGUGGGGAGCAGGGGAGAGGCCCACUCUGCCUGUCCCCCAGGUGAUGGGUGAAUGUGCAAUUCCUCCAACACUGGGUGGGAAUGACUAACAGAGGAGUCCAGGCAGCUGCAGGGGGAAUCAGUUUAGCAGCUUUCUGUUGUCGACUCCACGACUUCCACAGUGAUGUCACACUCGGGUACAUCAGUGCUGUCCUACUCCAGCAGCCACGCGGCAGGGAGCCAUGGCCAGCAUGGUGCUGAGGCCAGCGGGAGACGGAGGAGGGAACGGCAUCUCUCCUGGGACUUCCCCUCUCUGGCUUUGCUGAACCCUGAGUGGACUCUCCUGGACCCCGAGUGGACUCUCUUGGACCCUGAGUGGACUCUUCCUGGCUCAUGCCUCAGAGCUCAUGGAUGCAGUCCCCAUGGGGAUCACAUGUUCUCUUGGGCAGACAAAAUGGAUAUACGGUCACAAGAGAUUAGAUAGCUAUGCAAGGAGACAAGAUGAAUGUACAUCCACGAGAGAUGGAAUAGUCAUAUGAGAAGACAAGAUGGCCAUACAGUCAUGAGACAUCAGACAGCCACACAAGGAGAUGAGAUGGAUAUACAUCAUGAGAGAUCAAAUAGCCAUCCAAGGAGACAAAAUAGCCACCUGACAGUGACAAACGCCAGCUGGAUUCUACCACCAUCACCAUUUGGAGAAGAAAUCCAGGGACUGCUCAACCUCUGUAGACCAAGGAGCUAAUUGGGAGAGAAGACUGCAUCAGUCAUUGGUGCAAG